UACGUAGGGGGCGAGCGUUGUCCGGAGUUACUGGGCGUAAAGCGCUUGUAGGCGGUCCACCAAGUUUGGGGUGACAGUUGCCGACUUAAUCGGCAAAGUGCCUCAAAGACUGGCGGACUUGAGGGCCACAGAGGGACAUGGAACUCCAGGUGUAGUGGUGAAAUGCGUAGAUAUCUGGAAGAACACCAAAGGCGAAGGCAGUGUCCUGGGUGGUCGCUGACGCUGAGAGGCGAAAGCCAGGGGAGCG
rnacentral:rRNA from 1 species